UACGGGGGGGGCAAGCGUUGUUCGGAAUUACUGGGCGUAAAGGGCUCGUAGGCGGCCAACUAAGUCGGAUGUGAAAUCCCCAAGCUUAACUUGGGAACUGCAUCCGAUACUGGAUGGCUUGAAUCCGGGAGAGGGAUGCAGAAUUCCAGGUGUAGCGGUGAAAUGCGUAGAUAUCUGGAGGAAUACCGGUGGCGAAGGCGGCAUCCUGGACCGGCAUUGACGCUGAUGAGCGAAAGCGUGGGGAGCAAACAGG
rnacentral:rRNA from 1 species